rnacentral:rRNA from 1 species
GAGUAAUGUCUGGGAAACUGCCUGAUGGAGGGGGAUAACUACUGGAAACGGUAGCUAAUACCGCAUAACGUCGCAAGACCAAAGAGGGGGACCUUCGGGCCUCUUGCCAUCGGAUGUGCCCAGAUGGGAUUAGCUUGUUGGUGGGGUAACGGCUCACCAAGGCGACGAUCCCUAGCUGGUCUGAGAGGAUGACCAGCCACACUGGAACUGAGACACGGUCCAGACUCCUACGGGAGGCAGCAGUGGGGAAUAUUGCACAAUGGGCGCAAGCCUGAUGCAGCCAUGCCGCGUGUAUGAAGAAGGCCUUCGGGUUGUAAAGUACUUUCAGCGGGGAGGAAGGGAGUAAAGUUAAUACCUUUGCUCAUUGACGUUACCCGCAGAAGAAGCACCGGCUAACUCCGUGCCAGCAGCCGCGGUAAUACGGAGGGUGCAAGCGUUAAUCGGAAUUACUGGGCGUAAAGCGCACGCAGGCGGUUUGUUAAGUCAGAUGUGAAAUCCCCGGGCUCAACCUGGGAACUGCAUCUGAUACUGGCAAGCUUGAGUC